rnacentral:tRNA from 1 species
GGAGGGGUGGCAGAGUCUGGUUUAUUGCGGUGGUCUUGAAAACCACUGUGGGGCAACCCACCGGGGGUUCGAAUCCCUCCCCCUCCGCCA